CACGGAGCGAGACUGCAGAUUCU
rnacentral:miRNA from 1 species